ACGAACGCUGGCGGCGUGCUUCACCCCUGCCAGUCGAACGGUGAAGCGCCUUCCUUUUUGGUGGGUGUGGAUGAGUGGCGAACGGGUGAGUAACACGUGAGUAACCUGCCCCCUUCUUCUGGAUAACCGCAUGAAAGUGUGGCUAAUACGGGAUAUUCUGGGUCUGUCGCAUGAUGGGUCUGGGAAAGAUAUUGUUUCGGUGGGGGAUGGGCUCGCGGCCUAUCAGCUUGUUGGUGGGGUGAUGGCCUACCAAGGCGGUGACGGGUAGCCGGCCUGAGAGGGUGGACGGUCACACUGGGACUGAGACACGGCCCAGACUCCUACGGGAGGCAGCAGUGGGGAAUAUUGCACAAUGGGCGCAAGCCUGAUGCAGCGACGCCGCGUGAGGGAUGGAGGCCUUCGGGUUGUGAACCUCUUUCGCCAGUGAAGCAGGCCUGCCUCGUUUGUGGGUGGGUUGACGGUAGCUGGAUAAGAAGCGCCGGCUAACUACGUG
rnacentral:rRNA from 1 species